CCUACGGGUGGCAGCAGUCGAGAAUCAUUCACAAUGGGGGAAACCCUGAUGCUGCGACGCCGCGUGGGGGACUGAAGGCCUUCGGAUUGUAAACCCCUGUCAUGUGGGAGCAAAUUCAAAAGAUAGUACCACAAGAGGUAGAGACGGCCAACACUGUGCCAGCAGCCGCGGUACUACCGAGGUCUCAAGCGUUGUUCGGAAGCACGGGGCGUAAAGCGUGCGUAGGCUGUUUCGUAAGUCGUGGGUGAAAGGCACGGGCUUAAGCCACGAACGGCACAUGAUACUGCGAGACUGGAGUAAUGGGAGGGGAGCAGGAAUUCUGGGUGUAGCGGUGAA
rnacentral:rRNA from 1 species